rnacentral:rRNA from 1 species
GACGAACGCUGGCGGCGUGCUUAACACAUGCAAGUCGAACGGAAAGGCCCUGCUUUUGUGGGGUGCUCGAGUGGCGAACGGGUGAGUAACACGUGAGUAACCUGCCCUUGACUUUGGGAUAACUUCAGGAAACUGGGGCUAAUACCGGAUAGGAGCUCCUGCUGCAUGGUGGGGGUUGGAAAGUUUCGGCGGUUGGGGAUGGACUCGCGGCUUAUCCGCUUGUUGGUGGGGUAGUGGCUUACCAAGGGUUUGACGGGUAGGCGGCCUGAGAGGGUGACCGGGCACAUGGGGACUGAGGUACGGCCCAGACGCCUACGGGAGGCAGCAGUGGGGAAUAUUGCACAAUGGGCGGAAGCCUGAUGCAGCAGCGCCGCGUGCGGGAUGACGGCCUUCGGGUUGUAAACCGCUUUCGCCUGUGACGAAGCGUGAGUGACGGUAAUGGGUAAAGAAGCACCGGCUAACUACGUG